GUUAGGAAUAUUGGACAAUGGGGGCAACCCUGAUCCAGCCAUGCCGCGUGUGUGAAGAAGGCCUUAGGGUUGUAAAGCACUUUCGGCUGUGAAGAUAAUGACAGUAGCAGAAGAAGAAGCUCCGGCUAAAUUCGUGCCAGCAGCCGCGGUAAUACGAAUGGAGCGAGCGUUGUUCGGAAUCACUGGGCGUAAAGGGUGCGCAGGCGGUCUUGAAAGUUAGAAGUGAAAGCACCGGGCUUAACCCGGGAAUUGCUUUUAAAACUCCAAGACUAGAGUACUGGAGAGGUUGGCGGAAUUCCAAGUGUAGCAGUGAAAUGCGUAGAUAUUUGGAGGAACACCGAUGGCGUAGGCAGCCAACUGGACAGUAACUGACGCUCAUGCACGAAAGCGUGGGGAUCAAACAGGAUUAGAUACCCUGGUAGUCC
rnacentral:rRNA from 1 species